rnacentral:rRNA from 1 species
AUACGGAGGGUGCAAACGUUGUUCGGAAUUACGGGGCGUAAAGCGCGCGUAGGCGGCUUGUUAAGUCAGAUGUGAAAGUCCACAGCUCAACUGUGGAAGUGCAUUUGAAACUGGCAGGCUUGAGUACUGGAGGGGAUGGUGGAAUUCCCGGUGUAGAGGUGAAAUUCGUAGAUAUCGGGAGGAAUACUGGUGGCGAAGGCGACCAUCUGGCCAGAUACUGACGCUGAGGUGCGAAAGCGUGGGGAGCAAACAGGAUUAGAAACCCCAGUAGUCC